rnacentral:rRNA from 1 species
GAUGAACGCUGGCGGCAGGCCUAACACAUGCAAGUCGAGGGAGGAGCUUUCGAGCUUCGACCGGCGUACGGGUGCGUAACGCGUAUACAAACUGCCUUUCACCUAGGGAUAGCGCGAAGAAUUAUGGCUUAAUACCUAAUGUAAUAUCGAGGUGUCAUCACCUUUACAUUAAAGCUGAGUCGAUGAAAGAUGGGUAUGCGUUCUAUUAUCUAGUCGGAGAGGUAUCGGCUCCCCAAAGCGACGCUAGUUAGGGGUUCUGAGAGGGAUAUCCCCCACACUGGUACUGAGAUACGGACCAGACUCGUACGGGAGGCAGCAGUGAGGUACAUUAUACGAUGGUGGGAAGACUGAUCCAGCCAUGCCGCGUGCAGGAAGACGGCCUUAUGGGUAGUAAGCUGCUUGUGCAGGGGAAGAAUAAGGACUACGCGUAGUUUGAUGACGGUACUCUGCGAAUAAGCAUCGGCUAACUCCGUG